GUGGAUCAGUAAACUGUCAGAAGCAGCUGAGCCGAGUGAGCUGAUCGACACUGAAGAGUGCUACAGUGAGGGCAGCGAUCAGGACGAUAACGAGGAGUGCUUGUCCACUUCCUGUUCUCUGACCUCGGUGCAGGAAGCAGCAGAAUCUGACAACGGAGAAGAUGUCCCGCCUCCCUCUGAGGCUCUCCCUCCCCCCCCCUGUAGUGAGGAGGAGGAGGGACCUCUAAGCAGAAAGGGAAGAAGAAGAGUGGGGGCGGGUCGAGGAGGAGCGUCUGUCCCUCUGCUGCACGUCCCAGAAGAGAGAGAAGAAGAAGAAGGAGGAGGAGAGGCCG